rnacentral:rRNA from 1 species
GACGAACGUUGGCGGCGUGCUUAACACAUGCAAGUCGAACGGAAAGGCCCUGCUUUUGUGGGGUGCUCGAGUGGCGAACGGGUGAGUAACACGUGAGUAACCUGCCCUUGACUUUGGGAUAACUUCAGGAAACUGGGGCUAAUACCGGAUAGGAGCUCCUGCUGCAUGGUGGGGGUUGGAAAGUUUCGGCGGUUGGGGAUGGACUCGCGGCUUAUCAGCUUGUUGGUGGGGUAGUGGCUUAUCAAGGCUUUGACGGGUAGCCGGCCUGAGAGGGUGACCGGCCACAUUGGGACUGAGAUACGGCCCAGACUCCUACGGGAGGCAGCAGUGGGGAAUAUUGCACAAUGGGCGGAAGCCUGAUGCAGCAACGCCGCGUGCGGGAUGACGGCCUUCGGGUUGUAAACCGCUUUCGCCUGUGACGAAGCGUGAGUGACGGUAAUGGGUAAAGAAGCACCGGCUAACUACGUGCCAGCAGCCGCGGUGAUACGUAGGGUGCGAGCGUUGUCCGGAUUUAUUGGGCGUAAAGGGCUCGUAGGUGGUUGAUCGCGUCGGAAGUGUAAUCUUGGGGCUUAACCCUGAGCGUGCUUUCGAUACGGGUUGACUUGAGGAAGGUAGGGGAGAAUGGAAUUCCUGGUGGAGCGGUGGAAUGCGCAGAUAUCAGGAGGAACACCAGUGGCGAAGGCGGUUCUCUGGGCCUUUCCUGACGCUGAGGAGCGAAAGCGUGGGGAGCGAACAGGCUUAGAUACCCUGGUAGUCCACGCUGUAAACGGUGGGUACUAGGUGUGGGGUCCAUUCCACGGGUUCCGUGCCGUAGCUAACGCUUUAAGUACCCCGCCUGGGGAGUACGGCCGCAAGGCUAAAACUCAAAGGAAUUGACGGGGCCCCGCACAAGCGGCGGAGCAUGCGGAUUAAUUCGAUGCAACGCGUAGAACCUUACCUGGGUUUGACAUGGAUCGGGAGUGCUCAGAGAUGGGUGUGCCUCUUUUGGGGUCGGUUCACAGGUGGUGCAUGGCUGUCGUCAGCUCGUGUCGUGAGAUGUUGGGUUAAGUCCCGCAACGAGCGCAACCCUUGUUCACUGUUGCCAGCACGUUAUGGUGGGGACUCAGUGGAGACCGCCGGGGUCAACUCGGAGGAAGGUGGGGAUGACGUCAAGUCAUCAUGCCCCUUAUGUCCAGGGCUUCACGCAUGCUACAAUGGCUGGUACAGAGAGUGGCGAGCCUGUGAGGGUGAGCGAAUCUCGGAAAGCCGGUCUCAGUUCGGAUUGGGGUCUGCAACUCGACCUCAUGAAGUCGGAGUCGCUAGUAAUCGCAGAUCAGCAACGCUGCGGUGAAUACGUUCCCGGGGCU